AAUACCAUUUGUUUUGUUCAUUUUUCAUGUUUGAUAUUUUAUUGAAUAUUACAAUGUAACGUAACUCUCAUUUGUGUUCUAUUAUAUUUAACUGAUUAAGUGAUAAUACUAUAAGUUACGAAUCGUUCGAUUUUCCCAAUGUGAAUGGGAUUCGAAAAUAACCUAACCUUACCUAACCGAAGAAAUUUAAAUGAAUCCAACUAAACUAUU